CGCUGGCGGGGCGCGCGCCGCGACGUAGUGCGCAGGCGCCGGAGCCGGGCAGGCUGUGUCCCGCGCUCUCCGGGAGCGACCCCUGCGGUGGCCCCUCAGGUAAUUGUUAAUUUAUAGCCUAUGCUGUGAGGUGAUGAGGAGGUUUUUGUUACUCUAUGCUACACAGAAAGGACAGGCAAAGGCCAUAGCAGAAGAAAUAUGUGAAAAAGCAUUUGCACAUGGAUUUUCUGCAGAUCUUCACUGUAUUAGCGAGUCGGAUAAGUAUGAUCUGAAAACCGAAACGGCACCUCUUGUAGUGGUGGUUUCCACCACGGGUACCGGAGACCCACCCGACACUGCACGCAAGUUCGUGAAAGAAAUACAGGACAAGGCUCUGCCCAUAGAUUUCUUUGCUCACCUGCGGUAUGGAUUACUGGGGCUGGGUGACUCAGAAUAUACAUACUUCUGUAACGGUGGGAAGAUCAUUGAUAAGCGACUUCAGGAGCUUGGUGCCCAGCAUUUCUAUGACACCGGACACGCGGAUGACUGUGUAGGUUUAGAACUUGUGGUUGAGCCAUGGAUUAACGGACUUUGGGCUGCCCUCACGAAGCACUUUAUGUCCAGUAAAGAAAAAGAGAGGAAUGAAGCUCUCAAGAUGGCAUCUAAUGCCUCCCAAAGGAUGGAACCUGUGAAACCAGAAUUAUUAUAUAUUGAAUCACAAGUUGAACUUCUGAGAUUAGAUGAUCUGGGGAGAAAGGAUUCUGAAGUUCAGGAACAGAAUGCAGUGAAUAGAGAUCAGUCGAGUGCUCCGACAGCAGAAUCUGAGUCCUCACUUACCCACUCGAUACCCCCACUCUCACAAGCCUCUCUGAGUAUUCCCGCCUUACCACCAGAAUAUUUGCAGGUGCAUCUGCAGGAGUCUGUCGGCCAGGAGGAAAGCCAAGCAUCUGUGACUUCAGUGGAUCCAAUUUUUCAAGUUCCAAUUUCAAAAGCAGUUCAACUGACUACAAAUGAUGCCAUAAAAACCACUCUUCUGGUGGAAUUGGACAUUUCAAAAACAGAUUUUUCCUAUCAACCUGGAGAUGCCUUCAACGUGAUCUGUCCCAACAGUGAUUCUGAGGUACAAAACCUACUGGAAAGACUGCAGCUCACAGACAGAAGAGAGUACUGUGUCCUCUUGAAAAUUAAGGCAGACACAAAAAAGAAAGGAGCGGCCUUACCCCAGCACAUACCUGAGGGACGUUCUCUCCAGUUCAUUCUGACCUGGUGCCUUGAAAUACGAGCCGUUCCUAAAAAGGCAUUGUUGAGAGCCCUCGUGGACUACACCAGUGACGGGAUAGAGAAGCGAAGGCUGCAGGAGCUGUGCAGUCGGCAGGGUGCAGCCGAUUACAGCCGUUUUGUGCGAGAUGCCCAUGCCAGUGUGUUAGACCUCCUCCUCGCUUUCCCGUCCUGCCAGCCGCCACUCAGUCUCCUGCUUGAACAUCUUCCUAAGCUUCAGCCCAGACCAUAUUCAUGUGCAAGCUCAAACCUGUCUCACCCAGGGAAGCUUCAUUUCAUUUUUAACAUUGUGGAGUUUCUGUCUAACACCACCUUGGAGGUUCUGCGGAAGGGCGUGUGCACAGGCUGGCUGGCCAUGGUGGUUGCGCCAAUUCUUCAUCCAAACACACGAGUGUCCCCUGCAGAAGACGGGAAAGCUCCGGCUCCUGAGAUAUCCAUCUGUCCUCGAACAACCAAUUUCUUCCAUUUACCAAGUGACCCCUCAGCCCCCAUCAUAAUGGUGGGUCCGGGAACUGGCAUAGCGCCCUUCAUUGGUUUUCUGCAACACAGAGAGAAACUCCAAGAACAACAUCCAGAGGGACACUUUGGAGCAACGUGGUUGUUUUUUGGCUGUCGACAUAAAGAUAGGGAUUAUUUAUUCAGAGAAGAACUCAGAUAUUUCCACAAGCGUGGAAUCCUAACUCACUUGAAGGUUUCCUUCUCAAGAGAUGCUCCUGUUGGGGAAGAAGCAGCCCCAGUGAAGUAUGUGCAAGAUAACAUCCAGCUUCACAGUGAACAGGUGGCAAGGGUCCUUCUUAAUGAAAGCGGCUAUAUUUAUGUGUGUGGAGAUGCUAAGAAUAUGGCCAAAGAUGUCAAUGAUACCCUUGUGGAAAUAAUAAGCAAACAGGCUGGAGUUGAAACACUAGAAGCAAUGAAAAGAUUGGCUACUUUAAAAGAGGAAAAACGAUACCUUCAGGAUAUUUGGUCAUAAAAUCAGAAAAUGAAGGAAGAGAAUGAUGCUUUUUUGGCUUAAAGUACUAAAAGACAGUUUUACUGAAAUGGAGACUUUUAAUUUUUAAAAUUAAAAACAAUUUAACUUUGGAAGAAGUACAGUGGGAGUGGACCACUUACCUUUAUAGCAGACUUCCCAUGGGUUUUCCAUCAGUGCCUCUGUGCUCCCCACACUGCUUUAGCGUGGAGGCCGCCUGCACUGAGGGGCAGCCCUUCUGCACCAGCACCCCCAUCCCCACCCACCGUGGCCGCUGCAUCCUGGAGAAUCACAGGGAGUACGUCUGCAUGUCUGUGAUGAGGCUUCCCAGCACAGACAUGGGCAUUAGCUAGCCACGCAGAUGGUUAAAGCUUCUGAACUUACUGUUGCCAGUUUUUAAAAAUAAGGUGAAAAAUGCUCUAAAAUAGAAGUCGAACCAUGAAAAGGCUCUCCCUGCUGAAAUGAUAUGCUCAUUAUGAAGCUCUGCAUGGAGCAAAGGCAAAUAUUGAAAAGUCUACCUAAACCUUUGAAGUGCAUUGCAAUCUGAACAUCAGCGCGGCCACCAGAGGUGCUUCUUAGAUUUUUGUUCUCUGCUGUACGCAAUGUUUUCUCUGAGCCAUCUUUUCUUUUCUGAUGUGAAAUUUUAAAUCAAGUAAAUCAGUAAAAAAUAUUUACAAACAUCCCGAACCAACACUAAAAAUCAUAUAGUAAACUCAAGCUUUAAAAUCACUUCUUGAAGAUCAGUACAUAGACGCAAUGGAGAAAGCCAUUAACUCUGAAACCAUAAAGUAGAAGCAAAUGGAAAUUUACACAGAAAAAAAAAUCAAAUUUCAAGGCAGAAUGUCAGGGGAAAGGACAAAAGAUACUGUCUUCGUGUUGCCAGAAGGAACAGCAGGGCUUGUUUGAAUGGUUUUUAUUAAUUUCACCAAGAACUGGACACUUCUCCAAAAGCCAUGGCUUAAAUAUUCUCAAUGUUUGUUAACAUUCAGUCAUGUUCUCAGAUUCCUUUGGAUGUCUUUUCCUUCACAGAAGUUGAUCGUGAAGUUUCUGGGGCAGAUAUCUUCAGGAAAAUACUUCAGCUGCAGAGACAUUUGAAGCCUUUAGACUCAAUCCUGAAAAACAAAGAUACCAACUCUAUUUCAACUUCUGGAAUUUAUUGUGAAAUGUGAUUUUCAGAAAUCUCUGACGAGCCCAUGCUUGUAUGUAAGACUUUUCCUAACAAUUCUUAAAUCUGUUUGCUCAUGUGAAAAAAAAUUCGUAAUUAAAAUUAAGAAGUAUUUUUUGAUUAGCUAGGGGUGAAGAAAUCGGGCAAAUCUUGUUCUAUGUCACAUUGAACAUGAAUGUGCUAAGACGUUAAUUUUGACAAAUAUGCCAAAAUUAAGAGUCAAAAUUAGACACUGCAAUGUAAUUCAUUCAGGUAUUAGACCAAUAUGUAGCUUUAAGUUCCCCUUGUUUUUCAAGAAAAUGUAUUAGUGGCUUAACUGGCACAAUUAUAUACACAUAGAUCAAGUUCAAUAAAAGGGAAUUUUUACUGUGUUUCCUUCCUGCCAUUAUUAUCAUUAUGUAUUUCAUUAACAGAAUUACUGCUGGAAAUGAUGUAGGAGGUGAUGCUAAACGGUGAUCUGCUUGGGGUAUGAAAUGUACUCAGUAGGUCACUGCUGGUCCCAACCAUGGCUUCAGAAAGAGCAAGCGGUGUGGGUCAUAAUAAUAUAUAACACAGCCUCCUGAGGAAAGAGCUUUCUAUCAUGUGGGAGGAAGAAUUUCUUUAAAAAAAAAUGAAAGAAAAA